GAUGAACGCUGGCGGCGUGCCUAAUACAUGCAAGUCGAGCGAACAGAUGAUGAUCUUGCUCCUCUGACGUUAUCGGCUGACGUGUGAUUAACACGUGUAUAACCUACCUUUAAUACUUGUAUAACUUCGUGAAACCGUAUCUAAUACCGUAUAAUAUAUUUAUCCGCAUUGUUCUUUAGUUAAUUUCGGUUUUUCUUUCUCUUAUAGAUGUUUCCGCGCCGCAUUAGCUAGUUGUUAAGGUAACGGCUUACCAAGGCAACGAUGCGUAGCCGACCUGAGAGGGUGAUCGGCCACACGGGAAGGGAGACACGGAAAAGAGUACGAAGGGAGGCAGCAGUAGGGAAGAUUCCGAAAUGGGCGAAAGCAUGACGGAGCAAAGCCGAGUGAGAGAUGAAGGUCUAAGGAUCGUAAAAAUCUGUUAUUAGGGAAGAACAAAAGUGUAAGUAAAUAUGAACGGAUUGACGGUAACGAAUAAGAAAGCAACGGCUAACUACGUG
rnacentral:rRNA from 1 species